UGCAGCUGUGUCAAAAUCGGGGCCCGCCUCGCAUGGCAAGCACCAGCCCAGGAGGCUGCCACAGGAACACUGGGCCCUGCGCCCCUUGCCGGGACAGGGAUUAAAAAUCAAAAGACACAA
ensembl:snoRNA